UCAAUUCUACUUCAAGGAAAUGAAGCCACUGGUUAUGGUCUCUUUGGCACACAACUUAAUUUGUUAUCUCUGAAACUGUAGUCGGCUGUAGCCAGUGCUGAUGUACUUCUCAAGGUAUGUUAUUGCUCAGUCUUUAUGAUGUAGCCAGAUUAAUUGUGAUUCUGUGAUAUACUUGCAUGCUUCAUUCUUAAUUAAGAUAUACUCUGUUGCUGAUACUUUGCUCGUUGGACGUGCCCUGAGAUGCACGACGUGCUUGCCAACAAAGCGCUCCAUCACGGGCUCAAAGAGUACUCCAGCCGGACCACACUCCCACGGCUCUACAUCGAUGACGAGUUCUUUGGUGGCCGCGCCGUUGGCAAUGCCCCUGAACCCCAUUCUCAUCCCAGUGCAGCGGGCUAGACGUCGUCCUCCUCGACGCGGCCGUCCCCGACGAGCUAUCUUGGCCAGAGGAGGCGGAGCAGCAAGGCCUUCUAUCAUCGUGCGUGGACUGACAGUUGCGUCCUCCUGCUCUCCUAGUGUGGAAGAAUAAUUCUUGCAGAUGUGAGGGAAGAACUUGUGGAGAGGCUCACCUCGGUCUUCGUAGAGGGCCAAUACAUACUUGUUGUACUCCUGGAUGAACUUGUAUCUCUAUAUAUGUUUGUAAAUAUUCCCAAUGUGGCUUUAGUGAUGUCAUCUAGGAUGCUUGUUGUAAUGGAUGAUUUUUUAGAAAGGGUCAUGGAUGAAAUAACAUGGAAAUUUGUAAACUCGGUCAAACUAUGGGCCUGGUAUGUCAAAAUAAUUGAGUCGUGUAAGUUUGUUGUGCUAGCUGGGCUGAUGGAUGGAAUGGAUUGUUUUUCAAUUGGGUGAAUAUCAUAGGCCUAGGUUUUCUUGUUGGGCCUUAUUUGGUGAGCAAAAAUAGGCUAUUGGGCCGGGCUAGAUAAAAAUAAGUGGGCUGAAACAUUAUUGGGCCGAAGGCCACGCUGGUGCCAUGUAUAUGCCAUGUUGGCGCCAACUAGAUGGCACGUCAGACCCAUGCUGGCGCCACGCAGAUGCCAUGUCAGAACCAUGUUGUUGCCACAUCAUGUCAAUCCUUGACGGAUUAGUCCGUCACAGAGGCCCGGGCCUGGGCGGGCCUAGGGACUAAUCGAUGACGGUCAGGAGCUGUCAUGAUGGUAUAGUUGUCAAAUUAUGACGCGAUAUACAUGACGGACCCUAGGUCCGUCACAGGCCUCCAUCCAUGACGGCUUUAUACUGUUUUGUGACAGACUGUAUCUGUCAUGGAUUAACAAGAUUCUUGUAGUGACGGUUGUAAAACA